rnacentral:misc_RNA from 1 species
GGAAGUAAAAGUCGUAACAAGGUUUCCGUAGGUGAACCUGCGGAAGAUCAUUAAUAAUGGUCUACGUUUUUUAAGUAGACACUUAAUAAUCCUACCCUUGUGAAUUUGUUGUUUGAAAUAAUUUUUUUAAAUUAUUGAUUGUCUUUCCCUGUUGAAUAGAAUGUUUCGAACAUGAAAUUCGCAGGGAGUGUCAGUAAUUUUUAAAAGACCUUUUUAAAAUUAAACUUUUGUAUUCAUUUGUCUAAAAUUAUUUUUAUAAUAUAAAAACAACUUUUGACAAUGGAUCUCUUGUUCUCGCAACGAUGAAGAACGCAGCAAAAUGCGAUAAGUAGUGUGAAUUGCAGAAUACGUGAAUCAUCGAAUCUUCGAACGCAUAUUGCACUUUUUUAGUUUACUAAAAAAGUAUGUCUGUUUGAGUAUCAGUAAAAUAUUCUCAUAAAAACAUUGUUUUUAUGGUUAUGAGUGUUUACAACGAUACAAGUUGUUUCACUUUAAAUUUUUUUAAAUUUGAAUUUUUCUAAUUUUAAAAUAAAUUGGAUAAAAUUUCCGUAAAAAGGAAUAACCUAAACAAUUUUAAAUUUUGAUUAGAAUUCUUCACAUUCUAAAGGAAAUUUAACUAAAUAACUUGAUCUCAAAUCAGAUAAGAGUACCGCUGAACUUAAGCAUAUCAAUAAGCGGAGGAAAAGAAACUAACAAGGAUUCCUUAGUAACGGCGAGUGAAGCGGGAAGAGCUCAAAUUUGAAAUCUUCAAGGUUUUACCUUGACGAAUUGUAGUUUAAAGAAGUGUUUCUGUUGAAGUUUUGGUAAAGUUCUUUGGAAUAGGACAUCAUAGAGGGUGAGAAUCCCGUAUUUGACCAUUAUUUUCAGCUGUGUGAUACACUUCAAAGAGUCGAUUGUUUGGGAAUGCAGUCCAGAAUGGGUGGUAAAUUUCAUCUAAAGCUAAAUAUUGGCGAGAGACCGAUAGCGAACAAGUACCGUGAGGAAAGAUGAAAAGAACUUUGAAAAGAGAGUUAAACAGUACGUGAAAUUGUCAAAAGGAAGCGUUUGACACCAGUGUUGUUUUCUCGAAAUCAAUUAAAAAGGUUGGAUUUUGUGUUGUAUUGACCUUAACAGCUUGCUUCACUCUUUUCCUGCUUUUUUAAUGCACUUUUCGUUUAACAAGUCAACAUCAGUUUCUUUGUUGUAAAGGUCAUUGGAAGGUGGCUUUCUCUUCGAGAAAGUGUUUAUAGCCUUUGAUCUCUGCAUCGGAGAGACUGAGGUCUGCAGCGUAGAUCCUUCGGGUUAGAUACAUUUGUGCUAAGCUACAGCUUUCAUAGCAACUUGUUGACUAUGUUUAGUCUUGUAACUUACCCGCUUAUGCUAUUUACUACGCUUAGA